rnacentral:lncRNA from 1 species
UCAACUAACACCACCUACAGAAGCUGACAAUGACUGUUGGGCUUUUCCAGUGGAUGCCGGAACCCAUUUCUUGCAGCCUGGUGGGGGGGGGGGGAGGCAGAAUAACUGGCAGCAGGAGGUGAGUGUGGGUAAGGAAAGUGGAACUCCUCCUUCAGCCAGCCUCCUCACUCCUCUUCUUGUCCCCAGAUCCUUCUGUCCAGCCUUUCCCUCCUCCCACCUGCUGACUCUAAUCCACUCUGCUUUCCACCUUUCACUCCCUCCCCUAGAAACUCAGGAGGUCUUAAGGCAUGUUUCAGGAAGCGCUGUUCCCUGGCAUGGGCUCUCCAUUGUCUGCUCCACUGAGAAGCGGUUGGCUUCCAGAAAGUUUGAGAAAUUGCUUUUCAGCAAGAGGGCGGGCACCCCAGUCAGUUUAGGGUGAUAGUCUCUAGUGAGUACAGUUGGCAAAGCCAUUUCUCUGCCCCACAGGGUGUGAGUACUUGACAUUGGCCCUUGUGAGUUAGAAAUUGUUAGCUAUGGAGGUGUAAUAAGUUUGUCCAGACCCACAGUAACUCUUGCUGCUUAAGCUUCUACCAAAAAGGUUUCUACUUGUCAAACCAUCGGUCUCCCCACAGAGGGUGUCUCAUUUUCCCUCUGUCUCAUUUUUCUUGUUUUUACUCUGUUAUCCUUACUGUCUCUUCUCUUGUGUCUUUCUUUCUGGUUUGAUCUUUUUUCCCCUUUUGUUUUCUGAGGCUAAACAGGAACCUGGAGAAGAUGUGGGGAUGGUGGUAAUCCAAAGAAGGAGCCUUAACCUGAGCACCUGUCUUAGGAGGCAGACCCCCCUACCCUAGUGGGAGUGAAUGUUGCCCCGCAACCUGGGUCUUCAGAUGCCCUCUUAGGCACCACCUUGGUUUCAGAUGUGUCUUCCAGACCUACCACAGAUGGAUGUCUCACACUCUAACCCAAUAUCCCCAAGGAUUAGAACCCUAAACUCCUUCCUCCCAUGCCCACCGCGUGGCAGGUCCAUACAGAAGCAAAACAUGGUCACCUUUAGACUCUGGCAUACUGAGGCCAGGCCCUGACCCUGUCGGCCUCAACUUCCUGCCAGUUGAUUACUCGAUAAAAAUAUUGUUAAAUA